rnacentral:lncRNA from 1 species
GAGAGUUCUCUUUCAUAUUGAUUGCCAACACAAUUCUCUUAUGUUCUCCCCCCCACCCCCCACCCCUUCCCGGAGCCCCCUCUGAUUAAAGACGAGAUCAUCUUGAAUGCCUCCGAGCUCCGAGGACAUUAAGCGGUAAAUGCUUGAUGGAUCUUAAUCAAUCAUCGUGCCUUGUGGUAAGUACUGUGGAGAAAGUGGGGGAUGUUGGGAUGGCUCAAUCAUGUCAAAUCUCCCAAAUUAUGAUGUUGGGUCUUUUAAUCUGAUUGAGCCGUGCCAAUAUCACACUUCUUAUGAUCCUUCAAAUUUCUUUGUUUUUUUAGUGCUUUUGAUGGAAAUAUUUUUUCAUGUUUAUCUUAUUUUUCCUUUAACCUUUAUCAAUCAACUUCUAUGUUAUGCCCAAAUUUGCUGAAUCCUUAUGAUAAACACGUAUAAUACUGUCAGAAUUCUUGUAAUAUAUUAUUGAACACCAUGUUUAUAUUCUGAAAAAAAAAAAGACAGAUAAAUUGGUUUUCACAAAAUAUCUGAAAGUUUACGGUCUAGUUCGAUAUAACUUGUUGGAGAACUUAGGGUGGUUUGCAGUCAUGAUAUAGUCAAGUAGUUCAUACUCAUAUAUUGACAAGCUCCCUUGUUAAGCUUCUUGUCGAUCUCCUUCAUAAACUUCUGCUUGACAACUCCUAGAAUACAAUCACUGAACAAUUCAUUAAAAACUUUUUAUGUGUCAAUGAUCUCUCUUUUUCUCUCCAGUCCCUUAUUAAAUCUUGCAUGAUCUUAGAUCUCAUAGCAAGACUACAUAUAUAUUAUCAUUAACCUGCAGAUAUUUGAUGCAACCUGAAUUUAUUAAUCAGUGAUGGUUCAAGCAAGAACACAAGACAAUAUAUUCGCUCAAUCGAUCCAUAAGCUUCCACGCUAUCGUUUUCCUCCCCAUCAUCAUCUCUGGAAAUGAUGUUAGCAUGGGGAUCGAUGCUAUAUAGGUCGGUUUACUUUCGUUUUCCAAGACAAAAGUGCAAAUCAGUCAGAGAGAAAGGGUUGGCUAUGUUUUUGCACAGUACGUGAUGUUGUUCUUGCAGGAUUUUAAUUAUCGUGGAUGAGUGUUAAGAUACCUUAAUAUGUAUGUUUUCUUAGGAAAUGUUUAUGGUUAAUUCAACCCUCAUUUUUCAUUUCCUUUUAUCUUUCACUUAUUUAUUUUAUCAUAAAUAUUUCGAAGAAAAUUGGCCAACAAAGGUUUUCAAUAUAUCUUCAUUAUUUCUAUCCAGAACUUAUUUUUCCAUACUCAUUGGAGUUCAUAUGAAGUUUAGUUUUAGGGUUUAGGAUGUGUGAAUGAUACAAAAUAGAAAAGAAAUCAAGAAAAGGGUCUAGACUAAGAUAUAGUAAUAACGAAGAUCCAUAUAUAUAGACAGCCCUCUUGCUUGCAAAUCCAUGGAUGGGUUAAUGAAAUUUGUGUACGGUACUGGAACAUGCAUCAGUGGAAGCAUGUUCUUUUCUUUUAGAUAGGCGCCUAGUUAAUUAACUCUCUUUUGGUUUAUUUAUUAAUGCUAACUAUGAUUUUCCAUCUCUUCUUUUGUAAUCUAUAUAAUCUUUCUUAAUUUUAUAAAUUGAAUUUAGUCGAUUAAUUCAUAAAAAAUAAAAAAAAUGCUGGUUAUGAUGAAAUAUACCCUACUUCUGCAAUGAUCUUUGUAUGUGACAAGUAUGCAUUAAACUUCCUCUUACAUAUGCUUCAACGAAGAAUUUUGUUUGCACCAUUACAGGGAAAUGGGAAAAAGGGGGAAAGUUCUUUCAGUUCCAGCAAUAAUUUCUCAGCAGCCAUGAAGAGAGCUACAUUUAAAUGAUUUGUAACCCUAGGGAAAGUGGCAGGGAAUUUAAUCAUGAAACGGAAGCCAGGAUUUAACUAUCACAUAACAGAGAAGGAGACGUGGCCCUGCAGCUAUUCCCCUAGAACUUUCAUCGGGGAGCACGCUUCCGAUAUAAAUAAAGCCUCUUACAUGCACAAAUCAACACCAUCCCAAGAAAUACGAGGACACCAUCUAUUGCCAGCUUAACCUAAGAUCCUGUGAAUUUCUUAACCUAAGAAAAUGAUCAUGGAUCAUUCUUUAGGUUCCCACAUAAUUUAUCUCCAAAUAAAUCAAUGAUCCUUUUCUAUGUCUCCAUGACCACUUGUUUUCGAAAGAAUCAAUGAUCAUUCUCACUCAUGGAACAAUUCCAUGCAUUCCUAAAC